GACGAACGCUGGCGGCGUGCUUAACACAUGCAAGUCGAACGGGCCCGCCCCUGUUUUUGGGGGUGGGUUGAGUGGCGAACGGGCGAGUAUCACGUGAGUAACCUGCCCCCUGCUCCUGGAUAACUGCUUGAAAGGGCGGCUAAUACGGGGUGUGCCGGCUGGUCCGCAUGGGCCUGGUCGGGAUAGUUUCAUCUUCGGGUGUUUCGGUGGGGGAUGGGCUCGCGGCCUAUCAGCUUGUUGGUGGGGUGAUGGCCCACCAAGGCGGUGACGGGUAGCCGGCCUGAGAGGGUGGGCGGCCACACUGGGACUGAGACACGGCCCAGACUCCUGCGGGAGGCAGCAGUGGGGGGUAUUGCACAAUGGGCGGAAGCCUGAUGCAGCGACGUCGCGUGAGGGAUGGAGGCCUUCGGGUUGUGAACCUCUUUCUCCGGGGGUGAAGGCCCUGUCCGUUGCGGCGGGGUUGACGGUAGCCGGGUAUGAAGCGCCGGCUAACUACGUG
rnacentral:rRNA from 1 species